rnacentral:rRNA from 1 species
UACAGAGGUGGCAAGCGUUGUUCGGAAUUACUGGGCGUAAAGGGCGCGUAGGCGGCCUUCUAAGUCAGACGUGAAAUCCCCCGGCUUAACCGGGGAACUGCGUCUGAUACUGGAUGGCUUGAGAUUGGGAGAGGGAUGCGGAAUUCCAGGUGUAGCGGUGAAAUGCGUAGAUAUCUGGAGGAACACCGGUGGCGAAGGCGGCAUCCUGGACCAACACUGACACUGAGGAGCGAAAGCCAGGGGAGCAAACGGG